CGGUAGCGAAAGAGCUACAAAAGCACGAGUUCCAGAAGACGUGAUGAGGAGAUAAUCACAGAAGGUGAGAGACGAAGGAAUAAGAGAGAAGGAGAGGCGUUUAAUCCCCAAAAAAAGUUGCCUUCUUUGCUUUAUUUCCUCGUUCCCCUUCUCUUCGUUCUCCGAAUAGCUCUGUAACGCCAUAUCGUUCUACGAGAUCUCCAACUACAAAUCUCUUCAAGCUCUUUGCAUUCAAAACCAUUUUUGUUUUUUUUUUUGUCUUCUUUGUUUUCGUGUGUGUGUGUGUGUGGAAAUUAAAAAAAAAAAAAAAAUCAGAGGCAAAGGCAUACAUAAAAGUUGGAUUUUUGGUCAGUCUUUGAUCUCCAGGAAUGGAAUCUGAAGAAUUUAUGCGAUACAGAUGAUAAAAGUACCUCUCUUUUUUUCUUUUUUUUUGGUAUUUUCUUCGUGCUUGUUGGCUAUUUCCCGAGACGGGGCUCUUUUUCUGAGGUUCUGAUCAAGUUUCUAGCUUAUUUUCCUCUUUUUCUUCCCCGUUUGCGUUGUUCGCCAUCCAAAGCAGUUAUUUAUCGCUUCCUUUAAUGAACAGUCAAAACACACACACAAAAAUGAAUUUUGAUGGCUUUUCUCUUUUGUUCUCAUCCGGGUUUAGAUCACAUUACACAGAAGACUGUACAAACAACCAACUUUUCCUCGGUCAGUUUACUUUUUCUUUCCUUUUUACUCCUAUUUUGGUGUCCAAUAUGAGUAUUGUAUCAUACUGAAAGAAGGAGGAGAUAUUGGAGGUUUCAGGCAUUUAUUUCGUCUGUGCGUCCGCGAUAUGCUGGAAGGUCCCUGCUGUUUUACAACGAGGGCAUAUUCAUAAGCAGCUGUGUGCAGCAAUCCUCUUGCCCCUUGCAUGGAUUGCCAUAUCCAUGAAUCAACAGAUAAUAAAAAACGUAUUUUGGAUGAGGAUCCUGAAUUGCAAGAGCUCGACCAACGAGAGCUCGAAGGUAGGGUUAAAAGGAUCAAAUCACCACAGCAGCCAAGUACCCCCGAGAUCAAAGAUAUGGACCUGUCUCUCUGCAAAUUGGAUAGCCGAGCAAGCGACGGAGAGAAUAUUUAUCCAAACAUCAUCCACCGGCUGGGCAGGGACCUGAUUAUUAGCUGCUUUCUUCACCUUUCUCGGUCAGAGUACGGCGUCGUUGCAUCUGUAAACCGAUUGUUCCACUCAUUGAUUCACAGCGGGGAACUCUACCGGCUACGCUGCAAGAUGGGUAUUGUCGAGCACUGGGUAUAUUUCUCCUGCAAUGUCCUUGAAUGGGAGGGUUAUGAUCCAUACCGCAGCCGCUGGAUUGCCGUUCCUAAGAUGCCUCCUACUGAGAGCUUCAUGUGCUCUGAUAAGGAGUCCCUGGCAGUGGGCACUGAGCUUCUUGUUUUCGGAAAAGAGGUGAAUUCCCAUAUUGUGCUAAGAUACAAUUUUUUGACUAACUCCUGGUCUCCUGGUGUCGUUAUGAACUCACCUAGGUGCUUGUUUGGAUCCGCUAGCCUUGGAGAGAAAGCUGUAAUAGCUGGGGGAACCAAUGCUAAGGGUGAUAUACUGAGCUCUGCGGAGCUUUACGAUUCUCGCACUCAGACUUGGGAGACCUUGCCUAGUAUGAACCAAGUGAGAAAGAUGUGCUCGGGGGUUUUCAUGGAUGGCAAGUUUUAUGUCAUCGGCGGCAUGGCUACUAACACAAAGAUACUCACAUGUGGAGAAGAGUAUAAUUUUGAGAAAGGUUCUUGGAGGUUGAUCCCUAACAUGUCUGCCGGACUCAAUGGUGCUAGAGGUGCACCUCCACUUGUGGCUGUGGUGAAUAAUGAACUUUACGCAGCACAUUAUGCUGAUAAAGAGUUGAGGAAGUAUGACAAAGUAAACAAUACAUGGAUAGUUUUGGGAAGGUUGCCUGAAAGCUCAUUCUCAAUGAAUGGAUGGGGGCUUGCGUUUCGUGCCUGCGGCGAAUGGCUAAUAGUGAUUGGUGGGACAAAAGGUUCUCAUGGAGGGAUGAUCGAACUCAAUUCGUGGAUUCCAAAUGGAGGACCACCAGAAUGGCAAUUGAUCGCAAGCAAGCAUUCUGGCAGCUUUGUUUAUAAUUGUGCUGUGAUGGGCUGCUGAUUGAUCUGUUUCCAUGAGAGUUAUGUUCAUCUCUGCGAUCGAUGCACAAAGUCAGUUUCUUCGUGGGUACAAAGUACUAAAUCUGUUCAAAGGGUAAAUCAUGGAAGCGCUACAGUAAAUCAUCGACAAUAGACUCCCGCGGUCUUCGCCGUCCCUAUAAGACCGUCCAACGCCGAAUCGGCUGUGAAAGUAAACUCGUUGGCUUUUUCCAUCCAUGGAUACAUCAGCCCAAGUUUUUUCAUUAAAUCCAACAUCAGCACAUGUCCUAAUAGAAAGAUCAAAUCGUGACACUCUCUUUAACUAUACU